GCCGCGGUAAAACCAGCACCUCAAGUGGUCAGGAGGAUUAUUGGGCCUAAAGCAUCCGUAGCCUGUUCUAUAAGUUUGCGGUUAAAUCUAUACGCUCAACGUAUAGGCUGCCGUAAAUACUGUAGAACUAGGGAGUGGGAGAGGUAGACGGUACUCGAUAGGAAGGGGUAAAAUCCUUUGAUCUAUUGAUGACCACCUGUGGCGAAGGCGGUCUACCAGAACACGUUCGACGGUGAGGGAUGAAAGCUGGGGGAGCAAACCGGAUUAGAUACCCGGGUAGUCCCAGCUGUAAACGAUGCAGACUCGAUGAUGCAAUGGCAUAGAGCUAUUGCAGUAUCGCAGGGAAGCCGUUAAGUCUGCCGCCUGGGAAGUACGUACGCAAGUAUGAAACUUAAAGGAAUUGGCGGGGGAGCACGGUCAUACUGGUUUCCUGA
rnacentral:rRNA from 1 species